GUGAGGAAUAUUGGUCAAUGGGCGCAAGCCUGAACCAGCCAUCCCGCGUGAAGGAAGAAUGCGCUACGCGUUGUAAACUUCUUUUCCAGGGGGAGAAUUUUCCUGUCGAGACAGGGAUUGACGGUACCCUGGGAAUAAGCAUCGGCUAACUCCGUGCCAGCAGCCGCGGUAAUACGGAGGAUGCGAGCGUUAUCCGGAUUUAUUGGGUUUAAAGGGUGCGUAGGCGGAUUGAUAAGUCAGUGGUGAAAUUCUGCAGCUUAACUGUAGACUUGCCGUUGAUACUGUUAGUCUUGAGUGUGGUCAAGGCAGGCGGAAUGUGUAAUGUAGCGGUGAAAUGCUUAGAUAUUACACAGAACACCGAUUGCGAAGGCAGCUUGCUGGGUCAUUACUGACGCUGAUGCACGAAAGCGUGGGGAUCAAACAGGAUUAGAUACCCGAGUAGUCC
rnacentral:rRNA from 1 species